UACGGAGGGGGCUAGCGUUGUUCGGAAUUACUGGGCGUAAAGCGCGCGUAGGCGGACCUGCAAGUCGGGGGUGAAAGCCCGAGGCUCAACCUCGGAACUGCCUUCGAUACUGCGGGUCUCGAGUCCGGGAGAGGUGAGUGGAAUUCCCAGUGUAGAGGUGAAAUUCGUAGAUAUUGGGAAGAACACCAGUGGCGAAGGCGGCUCACUGGCCCGUAACUGACGCUGAGGUGCGAAAGCGUGGGGAGCAAACAGG
rnacentral:rRNA from 1 species